AGAUCAUAGUUAAACUGGCUGUGGUGGAAAUUUUGCAGAACUACAGCUUCACAGUCUGCGAGGAGACAGAGAUCCCCUUGCAGAUGAAUCCUGAAGGCCUCACUGGAACAUUAAAAC